UUUAUCGGAGAGUUUGAUCCUGGCUCAGGACGAACGCUGGCGGCGUGCCUAAUACAUGCAAGUCGAGCGGACAGAUGGGAG
rnacentral:rRNA from 1 species